rnacentral:rRNA from 1 species
GAUGAACGCUGGCGGCGUGCCUAAUACAUGCAAGUCGAACGAACACACGGUGAGCUUGCUCCCCUGACGUUGGCGGCGGACGGGUGAGUAACACGUGGAUCACCUUCCUCUUAGACGUGGAGAACUUCGGGAAAACGGUGACAAUACCGGAUCAUACAAUGAACGGCAUAGAUCAAUAGUGCAUGGCGGUUUUGGCGUUUCUUUUAGAUGAAUCCGCGCCGGAUUAGCUAGUUGGUAAGGUAACGGCUUACCAAGGCAACGAUGCGUAGCCGACCUGAGAGGAUGAUCGGCCACACUGGAACUGAGACACGGUCCAGACUCCUACGGGAGGCAGCAGUAGGGAAUCUUCCGCAAUGGGCGAAAGCCUGACGGAGCAACGCCGCGUGAGUGAUGAAGGUCUUCGGAUCGUAAAACUCUGUUAUUAGGGAAGAACAAAUGUGUAAGUAACUAUGCACGUCUUGACGGUACCUAAUCAGAAAGCCACGGCUAACUACGUG